rnacentral:rRNA from 1 species
UGCGUAGGUGGCAAGCGUUGUCCGGAUUUAUUGGGUUUAAAGUGUGCGUAGGCGGCCCUGUAAGUCAGUGGUGAAAUACUCUAGCUUAACUAGAGGGGUGCCAAUGAUACUGCAGGGCUUGAGUACAGAUGAGGUAGGCGGAAUUGACGGUGUAGCGGUGAAAUGCAUAGAUAUCGUCAAGAACACCUAUAGCGAAGGCAGCUUACUGGGCUGUAACUGACGCUGAGGCACGAAAGUGUGGGGAUCAAACAGG